AACGAACGCUGGCGGCAUGCCUAACACAUGCAAGUCGAACGAGACCUUCGGGUCUAGUGGCGCACGGGUGCGUAACGCGUGGGAACCUGCCCUUAGGUUCGGAAUAACUCCCCGAAAGGGGUGCUAAUACCGGAUAAUGUCUUCGGACCAAAGAUUUAUCGCCUUUGGAUGGGCCCGCGUUGGAUUAGCUAGUUGGUAGGGUAAAAGCCUGCCAAGGCGACGAUCCAUAGCUGGUCUGAGAGGAUGAUCAGCCACACUGGGACUGAGACACGGCCCAGACUCCUACGGAGGGCAGCAGUGGGGAAUAUUGGACGAUGGGCGAAAGCCUGAUCCAGCCAUGCCGGGUGAGUGAUGAAGGCCUUAGGGUUGUAAAGCUCUUUUAGCCGAGAUGAUAAUGACAGUACCGGGAGAAUAAGCUCCGGCUAACUCCGUG
rnacentral:rRNA from 1 species